UGUGUCUAUAGUCAAAUAUCCCCCACACUGGGUGAGUUUAAUAACAGAACUCCACUUAGUGUUUCCCAGUUCUGGAGACCAGAAGCCUGAGAUCAAGGCUUGGCUCCUUCUGAGGUCUGUGAAGAGUGAUCCUUCUGUGUCUCCCCUCAGCUCCUGAGAGUUUGUGGGUGAUCCUCAGCAACCUGGCCUUGCGAGUCUAUCAAUCUAUGCUUCACCUGGUAUCUCUGCAUGCAGGUCUGUGGCUCCAUUUUGCAUUUUUAUAAUGACUUCAUGGGUUGGAGGCAUAGCCUGCUCCAGUAUUAUGUUAUCAUAACUAAUUAUAUAUCAUAACUAAUGGAGGCAGAGGCCUCCAUUUCAGGUACUGGGAAUUAGGACUCCAACUCUUGAGUUUGGGUUUGGGGUAUACAAUUCAGCCCAUAACCCAGCAAGAGAUGGGCUUAUCUGAUGGACAGAGCCACUAUACCUUCAAGACCAGCAUGAGGUGAGUCCUCUAAUCUCUGUUCAAAACCAUUCCAACCCAAGAAGAGAAAGGCCCCAGUGAGCACAUCUGUAGUGAAGUCCCAAACUCCUCUUCCUCCCGAGUCCUGAAACUAACUUAAUUUUCUUUAACUGCUCCCAUUCUGUUUACAUCUCAUUUCCAGUUGCCAGUUGGUAUAUUCUCAUUGAUAAUGACCAAUGAGACUAAAUACACCAUUAAUAGAUGUGAUAUUUCAUUGUUCAAGUCUGACUGAGAAGAAUAUCUGGAGGAAAUUAAAGAACUGGUGAUUCAGUGAAGGUUAAAACAGCACUCAGAAUGUGACACCAGAAGAGUCUGUGGAGGCUCUGAGGGGCAGCGCUCUGAUUUUGUGCUUUUUCCUGAAUGUGAAAAAUUUUCUCUUGCCGCAUCCUAAUGCUGUGUUUUCCAACCUUAGCAUUGCUGUCUUUCUAGGCCGAACAGCUUUUUUUCUUUUUUUCUGGGAUCUACCCUGUGUACUUAGCAGCAGCCUGCCCUCUUCACACUGGAAGGCAGUGUGUUUCAGGGCAUUGCCAAAUGUCCCCCAGGGGAUGAAAUCACCCCCAGUUGGGAACCAGUGUACUGAAGUAUAUGCAAAAGUACUUUGGAACUCUACAGUGCAAUGCAGAUGUGUGGAAUUAGCUCCUGUAUUACUUCCAAAGGGGAGCGUUUUGUGGACAUGGCAAAAUAGGGUCAGUUAUUUAAUGGCUGAGUCAGAUCACAGCGCAGAUCCGUCCUAGCCUGAUGAUCCUGGGAUUACACUACAACUGCCUCAGGCUCAUAUUCCAAAUGGCUUUAACGAUUGCUUUGGCUAGGAAAGGGUGCUGUCCCUGUCACCACUAGAGGACAGAGCUGAGAGGGAGAGAGGAGAGCUGUUCCUGUGCAGAUGGAGAGCCCUCACUGCCUUGUGUGUGAAUGCUACGGGGCUUGUUUGCACACGGCCCUGUGAAAACAAGCGUAAAGGGUGAGCAAUGGGUGAUGCUUUGUCCAUCCAUCCUGAUGCAGCUUUCCAGGUUGGAUACCCGAUCUGAAGAGCCCUGGCAAAGCUGUUUUAUCAAAGGCUUUCUCCUCCCCACAUGCAUGGAGCUCCCAUGUGCUCUGUGUUUGUCCAUUCAGCCACAACAAAGGAAGCUUCCAUCAGGUCCGGCACUGUCUCUUCCUCCGCUGUCAGAUGUCUGCACCAGCCUGAGAUGACCUUCUUUGUGUGUUGGCGGAGACAGGAAGGCCUGGGGAUGUUUGGUAACUGCACAGAAGCACCAAGGACUCCUGACCACAGUGACACUGGGCUUGAGCACUGGGGGUAGAGGGGCACCAGCAGCCUGCCACGCAAAACGAGGCCACUCAGUAAGGGUCUCUCACAUGAGCCCUAAGCAAAUAGAGUCAAUAAUGGUGGCUCUUCUCUUUCUUCAUUCAAGAAUAAACAGCAGGGGGCUGGGGAUUUAGCUCAGCGGCAUAAGCACCUGCCUUGUAAGCAGGCAGUCGUGAGUUCGAUCCCCGGUACCGAUAAAAAGGAAAAAGACAAAAAAAAAAAAAAAAAAAAAAAAAAAAGAAUAAACAGAAAAAAAAAUCAGGUGUUGGUGUAGAAGAGUCCACAGCAGCCAGUUCCUGAUAGUUCCUGAUGGUGACUAGUCUCUCUCUCUCUCUCUCUCUCUCUCUCUCUCUCUUUCUCUCUCUCUCUCUUUCUCUCUCUCUCUCUCUCUGUCUCUCUCUCUGACCUCUCAUCUUCAACAUAACAGACUGAACAGUCCACAUACUGGGAAAUAUAGAAGGGUGUUGUUUCCACAGUCUGGACCCUUGGAAGGAUUUCUUUUAGAGCUCUUCCUCCAACCCUUUAAGGAGGGUUGGAGGGUUGGAGGGUUGGAGGGUUCCAAUCAGAUUGUGGUGCAAAGGAUAAGACGCUGACAGUAUCCCCAUCAGGACCACCCAACACCUCCCUUGAAAAGGGGAGGGAGGGUCUUGCUGUGGUAGCUGCGCCCUGUCCAUCAUGGCCAGAUCAAGGGCACCAGUAGCCGUGGGGAGUGAACCACUGUUGACAAACUCAGCUUUUGACCAUGGUCCUGCUCCUGGACUCCCAGAAGUGGAUGUGGUGUAUAAAAUAAGGAAAAGGCACACUGCCCCAGAAAGAACGAAAGAGUCAGGGCCAAGCUUCCGCUCGUUUGAAGCCACUCUUCCAAAAGUAUGAAAGAAUGGCUGGAACAGUUUCUACUGUGCUGUAUGCGGCUCUGCUAGCGCCCCCUACUGAGCCUUUUCCUCCUUUGUCUCCUUUAAGUAAGGUUUGUGCUUCAAGGUGUCAAGUUCCCGUUUUUUAAGGGUAUUUGUCUUUGUAAUUCGGGAAAUAGAUUUAUUCUUUUGUGACCCCAGAUACCCUUCCUAUGUUUAUUCAUUUUGUUUUCUUCAAUUUCAAUCUCCUGAUCUUUGUUGGGAGCCAAGUGGCUUUUUAUUUCUAUGGAAAUAAAUGAUCUUUUUACCCAUGGAAACCUUAGUCAUCCUGCCUCCUCCUUUAAAAACUCUCUUCUGUUGAGAAAGUGCCAAAAUCAAGGGUGCACGCUGCUCGAUUGUUCCUCUAGGGAACACUCUCAGGACUACUUUGUGAAACCAUCAUUUCUUUAAAUUGAAGCAUGAUACUUUGCAGGCUGCGAUUGUAAGUACAAUGAAGGCCUAAUGGAUCACUAACCACAUGGCACAGCCCUCUCUGAGAUUUCCUCUACAGUGGUAUUGAAGCCAAUGAAUGAGUUUCAUCCUUCAGUGGCAAUGGGGAGAAGCAGAGCUGAGUGGACUUUUAGAUAAAUAUUAACAGCAACCGCUCAGACAUGAAAGGCAAGAAAUAAAACUCAAGUUCUUGUCUCUGCUAACACUUACAUUAUGUCCAAUUAAAAAUCCAUUCUCAUUUUUAAAGUGAAUACAUUAAUCUCCUAAGGAAUGAAAGGAGGUGUCAUGAACGUAGGGAGGGGAAUGAUUCACUGCUCACUUCCCUUAACCCUGAAGAGCUGGAUUCAGAAAAUCAGUCAGUCAUUUCCUGGGUGUCCCUAAAGCAAUGCCACGAUGGUGGAGACACCUCAGAGACACCCCCAGGGUGAGAUUGUUUCCACUUAAUUGUGGGUGGAGCCUAUGACUCCCCUAACCA